rnacentral:lncRNA from 1 species
UUGUUCCCUUUGACUCUUUCUGUGUGCAUUCCAUGUUAAUUCUGCUGCUGCUUUUGGAUUCUGAAGUAUUCAGAGCCAUAAGGUGACUCCAGUUUGGUACCAUUUUCUUUGAAAUAUUGAAAAACCUGAAGAGACUGCUUGCUUAAUGCUUAAUGGAUCAUUUUACCAGUGUGUUAGUCACACCAAAAGCCUUAUGGUCAAUCCAGGUAAAUAUCCUUGCAUUUCAAGCAAUUUUAUCUAACGUUAGACUUUGCAGUUGAGUUUCUUAGUCCUCCCAGUUGAAUCUCAUAUUUACCAGAAGAGGAGAUUUCUUUUUUGGUAAAAUCUGAGUCUUAAGAGGAGACAGGUUUUGGUUGUUGUUUGUACUUUAACAUAGCAAUGUAGCUUGAGAAGGUUACUAUUUUCUAAUUAGCAGACCCAUUAACAGGAUAAAGAAAGAAAGGAUAUGGCUUUAUAUAAAGUAUGUGUUGGUUAGUGUGAUAGCAAAAAAUUUUGAAAGGAACUUUUAAAAACCAAUUUUCCAUAUGUGUCUUUAUUUUUAGCCUUCAUCUUUAGGGCAUGGACCUUGGGAUUUUAUUUUCUCUGUAAAACUUUCUACCAUCCCUUGUCAUCUGUAAGAUGGUUUAUGGUAAUACAUAAAAUAAUAAGUGUUAGCAAUUCCUGGCACAAAAUAAGUACUCAGUAUAUGUUGGCUGUUGUUAUUUAGAGUAAGGUCCUGAAAUCCUUCCAUUUCAGAUAGCUGACUACUCAAAAUACAUGAAUCUUCAAAAGAUACAUGCUGUAUGAUUCCAUUUUACAUACUUCUUGAUUCCAUUUAUAGAACAUUCUCAAAAUGACAAAAUUAUAGAAAUGGAGACAAGAUCAGUGGUUGUCAGGUGUUAGGGACAUGGCGUGACUAUAAAGGGGUAAACGGGUAAUUAUUUGUAGUGAUGGGUCAGUUCUGUAUCUUGAUUGUGAUAGCUACAUGAUAGGUACAUGAAUCUUUACAUGUGACCAAAUUUCACAGAACUAAACACAAACACACACAAAGAAAGACAGAAAGGAAAAGCAAUCACAGCAAGAUAUUUAUGUAUUAUGACAUGUAUUAGGUCAACUAUGCAUAAAUACAGCAAACAAAAUAGAAAGUAAAUAAUUGCAUGUGGCUUUCCCUAUGAUCAAGACAUAAAAAUCUCAAGUUAACAAAGGGUUAUUUUUGCAUUAGAAUGUAACGGGGCUUUAACACAUGAAUUUAUAAAUGCUCAUUCUUAUUGUGAACAUUAGCCUCUGUGUGGUCAG